rnacentral:piRNA from 1 species
UGAGGGCUGUGUCAUGGGCCAUGGUCAA